rnacentral:rRNA from 1 species
CCCCUAGAUGUUCUGGGCCGCACGCGCGCUACACUGAACAGUUCAACAAGUCUUAACCUUGGCCGAUAGGUCUGGGUAAUCUUUGAACGCUGUUCGUGAUUGGGAUAGACCUUUGCAAUUAUGGGUCUUCAACGAGGAAUUCCUAGUAAACGCAAGUCAUCAACUUGCAUUGAUUACGUCCCUGCCCUUUGUACACACCGCCCGUCGCACCUACCGAUUGAAUGGUCCGGUGAAGCCUCCGGAUUGGCGCGCACCCCGGUGCCGCCGAGAAGUUGGCUAAACCUUACCAUUUAGAGGAAGGUGAANUCGUANCA